GAUGAAGAACGCAGCGAAAUGCGAUAAGUAGUGUGAAUUGCAGAAUUCAGUGAAUCAUCGAAUCUUUGAACGCACAUUGCGGCCAUAGGUAUUCCUUUGGCCAUGCCUGUUCGAGCGUCAUUUACACCCUCAAGCCUAGCUUGGUGUUGGGCGCCUGUCCCGCCGUUUUCGCGCGCGGACUCGCCUCAAAGUCAUUGGCGGCGGUCGUGCCGGCCCCCUCGCGCAGCACAUUUGCGCUUCUCGGAGGCCCGGCGGAUCCGCGCUCCAGCAAGACCUUUCACGACUUGACCUUGGAUCAGGUAGGGAUACCCGCUGAACUUAAGCAUAUCAAUAAGCGGAGGA
rnacentral:misc_RNA from 1 species